GGGGAGGCCUCAGUGUCUCCUCUCCUUCGGGAGAACGGAAGGACGCCUGCGGCCUACUUUCCUGUUUCGUCAUGUGGAGACAGGAGAGUUGGGCAGGCAUGGAGGCCUGUGGUACUCAGCCACCAUAACUCCAUCCAGAAAUAGACAGACAGGAGAGGGGUAGCCCUGCUGGAACCGUGUAAGUCCAAGAAAAUGUGUCUCAUUCCUGCAUGGCUUUCCUUCUGAGCUGCACUAAGAAUCUAGCCACCUACCGCCCUACUGUGGACAAACAGCACCCUUGCCAACUCACUAUGUACUUUAAAGGAAGGGGCCAUCUCACUGUGUACCGGAGAGGACUGCAAAGGAGGAAUCUUUGUAAGGACUUUGUAUGGAUUCUAAUUUUACUGCCCAUGUCAUCAUUACACUACACUCUGAAAAUUCUGUUACAUAGGUAUUAUACCUGAGUAGAUUGAUAGUUUAUCUUUAUUUACAACUGUUUUCAAUGAUGUUACACUUUCUCAACAACUCAGUGCUUGCUGAUGAAACACAGUGUCUGUGAACAUUCCACGGCAAUAGCUUUUCCACUACUCCUGCGUUCCUUCCUGCCAUUGCCUUUUCAUCAUCAAUACAGAUGUCUCUAUAUCUUUGCCAAUUUAUUUGAUGUGUUCUAAAAACUGAUCUAAACACUGAAGAAUUCAUUCUCCUGUUGUAUAUGUUUCAAAUGCUUUAUGAAGCAAUAAAUCAAUGUAGGUGAACAUGGACAAUCUACAAAUGUCCUUCCUCUUUUCUUCAUGAACCAUAAAAAUUUCAUAUGUCUUUGUCUAAGGACUAAUUUUUCAAGCAUGUCCAGAGUGCAUUGUUCCUGAGACUAACUUACCAGAUGAUGUUAUUAAUUGUGUUUUUGUGGUAUUGCUUAUACUUACUGCCUUAAUAAUACCUGUUAGUGUUCAUAAACUCAUCUCUAGAAGCAUCUAUACUCUUUUAUGUGCGAUGUUGUAACUUGUUUUCAGAGAACUUUUUAAUGAAUUCUUAAUGUUGGGGCAGUGGAUAAGUCAAAAUUGCGUUUGUAUAUACUUUUCAAUUUCAUUAAUCUGAUCCAUUUACAUCAAAGGAAGCUGAGACCCUCAUUGUUAUGUUUUAUUUUAUUUCAGAAUGAUGUAACUUAGUAGAGACUAUAAAACAUUGUGUUUCCACAAACAUAAGAUGGUCAAAUCUAAACAUUUAAACAUAAAUGGCAACCCACUCCAGUAUUCUUGCCUGGAGAAUCUCAGGGACAGAGGAGCCUUGUGGGCUGCCGUCUAUGGGGUUGCACAGAGUCGGACAUGACUGAAGCGACUUAGCAGCAAUGCCAUUAAAAAUGUAGAAUUUUUAUUCUUUUCCAAUAGAUAUGUAUGAUUAAUGUGGUAAGGGUCCUAGGGUUUCUCUCCUCCAAUAAAGGCUGUUUUUAAAUUGGUUGUUAAAUUUUAGAUAUAAGAAAAUGUGUUAUUCUGUGUGUUUUAACUGCAUAAAACAUAUUGCACUA